rnacentral:rRNA from 1 species
GAAAUUCCGUCGGAAUCCGGGAGGACCAUCUCCCAAGGCUAAAUACUCCCUAGUGACCGAUAGUGAACCAGUACCGUGAGGGAAAGGUGAAAAGCACCCCGGAAGGGGAGUGAAACAGUUCCUGAAACCGUGUGCCUACAAUUAGUCAAAGCCCGUUAAUGGGUAAUGGCGUGCCUUUUGUAGAAUGAACCGGCGAGUUACGUUUGCUUGCGAGGUUAAGAUGAAAAGUCGGAGCCGUAGCGAAAGCGAGUCUGAACAGGGCGAAUGAGUAAGCAGAUGUAGACCCGAAACCAAGUGACCUACCCAUGACCAGGUUGAAGGUGUGGUGAAACACACUGGAGGACCGAACCCAUGUAUGUUGAAAAAUGCUGGGAUGAGUUGUGGGUAGCGGUGAAAUUCCAAACGAACUUGGAGAUAGCUGGUUCUCUCCGAAAUAGCUUUAGGGUUAGCCUCGGAGGAUGGAUCAUGGAGGUAGAGCACUGUUUGAACUAGGGGCCCAUCAAGGGUUACUGAAUUCAGAUAAACUCCGAAUACCAUCGAUCUUACUCCGGGAGUCAGACAGUGAGCGAUAAGGUCCAUUGUCGAAAGGGGAACAGCCCAGAUCACCAGUUAAGGUCCCUAAAUUUAUGCUAAGUGGAAAAGGAUGUGGCGUUGCACAGACAACUAGGAUGUUGGCUCAGAAGCAGCCACCAUUUAAAGAGUGCGUAAUAGCUCACUAGUCGAGUGGCACUGCGCCGAAAAUAUACCGGGGCUAAGCAUAAUACCGAAACUGUGGGUGCACCCGUAAGGGUGCGCGGUAGGAGAGCGUUCUAAGGGCGUUGAAGGUCGAUCGUGAGGACGGCUGGAGCGCUUAGAAGUGAGAAUGCCGGCAUGAGUAGCGAAAGAUCAGUGAGAAUCUGAUCCACCGUAUGACUAAGGUUUCCUGGGGAAGGCUCGUCCUCCCAGGGUUAGUCGGGAUCUAAGGCGAGGCCGAGAGGCGUAGUCGAUGACAAGCAGGUUGAGAUUCCUGCACUAGUUUAUUUUGUUUAAGCGAUGGAGGGACGCAGGAGGCUAAGGAAAGCGCACGGCUGGAAAUGUGCGCCCAAGCAGCAAGUCUGACAGCGAGUGAAAUGCUUGCAGUCUUAAGGACAAGCUGUGAUGGGGAGCGAAAUUAUAGUAGCGAAGUUCCUGAUGUCACACUGCCAAGAAAAGCUUCUAGUGAGAAAUAAACUACCCGUACCGCAAACCGACACAGGUAGUCGAGGAGAGUAUCCUCAGGUGAGCGAGCGAACUCUCGUUAAGGAACUCGGCAAAAUGACCCCGUAACUUCGGAAGAAGGGGUGCUGACCGCAAGGUCAGCCGCAGUGAAUAGGCCCAAACAACUGUUUAUCAAAAACACAGGUCUCUGCUAAAUCGUAAGAUGAUGUAUAGGGGCUGACGCCUGCCCGGUGCUGGAAGGUUAAGAGGAUGAGUUAGCGCAAGCGAAGCCCAGAAUUGAAGCCCCAGUAAACGGCGGCCGUAACUAUAACGGUCCUAAGGUAGCGAAAUUCCUUGUCGGGUAAGUUCCGACCCGCACGAAAGGCGUAAUGAUUUGAGCGCUGUCUCGACAAUGCAUCCGGUGAAAUUGAAGUACCAGUGAAGAUGCUGGUUACCUGCGCCAGGACGGAAAGACCCCAUGGAGCUUUACUCCAGUCUGGUACUGGGACUCGGUAUUGCAUGUACAGGAUAGGUGGGAGGCUAGGAGAUGGUAACGCCAGUUGCCAUGGAGCCGCUGUUGGGAUACCACCCUUGCAGUAUUGGGUUUCUAACCAGCCGCCGUGACCCGGCGGUGGGACAAUGCCAGACGGGGAGUUUGACUGGGGCGGUCGCCUCCGAAAGGGUAUCGGAGGCGCCCAAAGGUUCCCUCAGAAUGGACGGAAACCAUUCGAAGAGUGCAAAGGCAGAAGGGAGCUUGACUGCGACACCGACGGGUGGAGCAGGUACGAAAGUAGGGCUUAGUGAUCCGGUGGUAUUAAGUGGGAAUGCCAUCGCUCAACGGAUAAAAGCUACCCUGGGGAUAACAGGCUUAUCACUCCCAAGAGUUCACAUCGACGGAGUGGUUUGGCACCUCGAUGUCGGCUCAUCGCAUCCUGGGGCUGUAGUAGGUCCCAAGGGUUGGGCUGUUCGCCCAUUAAAGCGGUACGCGAGCUGGGUUCAGAACGUCGUGAGACAGUUCGGUCCCUAUCCG